rnacentral:lncRNA from 1 species
UUUGAUCAUUAAAAAGAUAAACAUUAAAAAAGCGGUCGAUGUUCCAUCUCACCAGUUCAUUUUUGCUGAACUUAAACACUUGGGAAUGUUAGUAUUAGUAUGUACAGGUCGGUACAUUGAAGUCUGAACACUUACUAAUUCAAUAAUUAAUUCAGGUUUAGUUAUUGUAAUUACAUAACAAAACAAACUAGUAGCUUACGUACAAGUAGAGAAAAUGAGACUUGGAUUUUAUUGACUAAUUUUCAUUCACGCAUUCCAAAAAGUUGGGCGUCUCCAAGACCACCGUCUAAGCUGUCAGAAGGACUGAAACGUUAUAGAGGAAGAAGGGAUCUGUCAAAAAUGCCAAACUGGUCCCAGAGGAGUUAAAGAAAAUAGCCCAAGUAAAUCCUCUCCUGUUAAUGAGGGCCCGUUCAAAAAAAUCUCAAGGUUUAACAUCAAAUUGUCUAGAGAAUCAUAAAAAGUGGAAGAAAAGAGCCUUUUGAGGAUAGAGAGGCCACUUUUGACACCAACAAUGAAAGAACCCCAUCUCCUCCGUUGCAAGACUCUUUUGAAUGAGUUUGAACGAGUCUUUUGAACUCUUUUUUGACACUUUUGAUCCCCCUGCAAAUAGUAGAAAUUUUUUAUGCUCAAUAACACAAGUUGCUCUAUUAAAGUCUAAAGUUGCUCAAAAGAAAAUUGGUGGAAUGUAAAUUGGCCAAUCAAUGUGGGCGUGCCGGAAAUCAAGAGCAAACGUUGACAGUCCCUGAUUUGGAUGUACAACCGACUCAGGAGUGUCGAUCUCCGGUUUGAGAUCGACCCUCUUACAACGAAGAAGUCAAAGAAGAUAAAAUCAUUCCUGGGAAACAGCUACCAUGACUGAAGAACCAGUUCCUUACAAUUCAGAAGAGACUUCAGAGGGAGAGAUGUUGCUGCUACGUAUCAACAUUAAUUGAGAAUGAAAAGAUUACGUAAGGGAAAUAAUAUAAAAUCAUUAAAGGGUAACAAUUACCCAUCUCAAGCCAGGCAUGGAAAGAUAAAGUAAAACAAUAAUUUAAUAUAAAUAAAAAAACUACCAAUAUUUUAAAAUAUGGUCAAACAAUCGUUGGGGUCGGACUAUCUUACAGCUUGUCUGUAUAUUUCAAACCUAAUUUACGAAUACAGAAGAAACAUAAGGCAAAAAAAAAAUUAUAAAUUUUAUAAUGUUGAUAAAAGAAGGUAACUGAGACACCCUGGCUAAAGUUAUCUGGCCAUAGUUUGGAAAUACAAGUGACACUUUAUGGAAAUAUCUAAAGCCUUACAACCUGGGAGUAUAUCAAUUCCACUCGAAAUUGAGAAGGCUAUGCAAAGACACAGGAUCUGUUGGAAUCUGAGUCUUUUAUAUAUCUGGCGAUAUAAUAAGUAAGGAUAGUUGUUGUUUUUCUUUAUUUUCCUUCUAUAUUAAUGUCAUGGACGUUUCUAUAAAUGGACAGCCAACAAAGAAAUUUACACUCUACAGUAUGGCUAUUAGAGCAUAUUGCUAUACAUCAAUUUAAUUUCUUCUUUCUUACCAUAGCCAAUUUUUUUUCAUCAAGAAAGAUUGUUUUGUUUUUUUCACAGAACCUCAAGCGAAUAAAACAUUGUAUGUUUUAAGAGUGAAAAUAAUUAUAAUUAAUUACCAAAUAAGUGUUUUCUUUUAGUGUUUCCUAUGCUUAUAUAGACUAUAUGAAGGAGAAAUCAACUUAUUUACUUAAGUUUAUUCUCCCUUCCUUGGAGGAAGGGACGAAAACCCAAAAAAGGAUCCUCAGAAUCUGUAGCAACUGGAAAAGAGAUAGACGAAAAAGGUAACAAAGACAUUACUCUUUUUUUAUAAGAAAUGAUAUAGGAACUAACAAUCCGGGAUGCUAAAAGAGGCCAGCUAUGUCACCUCCAGAGUCGGUAAGUGUCGUAAGGAGAAUUGAAGAAAUAGAAGAUAAUACCGAAAACUUUGAAAAAACUCUAAGAAUUCCAGAGUUGAAGGUAUUGGGAGAGAACCCCAGAAAAUUAGCUCUAACUCUGCAGUCAGCACCAAUAAGUAUUCAAAGGCCUUGACGGGAGGACAGGAAAAGUAAAAAGGAGCGAAAAACAUUAAAACAGUAGACUUGAUGAUACAACAUUCGAAAAGAAGAACACCCACAUACUUGAAAAGAUUUAACCCCUACGUCGUUACGGAAGACAAUGAUGGAAAUGUCAAAAGAAGCGAAAUGCACCCCAGUAAUAUAUUUUAUAUAGCAAGAGACGGAUUUGGAAUCGAUACGUCCGAAGUAAUUUAAUUUAGAGAACAUGUACCAUGUAGACCCCAAUUCACAAUGCAUUGCUUUUACCUGAGGUGGUAAUAGUAUCCAGAAUAAGGCUGCAAAUAUGUGAGGAGGAUUUCUGAUUUUUCAAUGUUAACAUCAGCCAACAACUUCUUGGUCUCUAAAAUAGACCUGCAGUUUAAUUUCACAAUAGACUUUAUCCUGAUCUUUUUUUUCUGCCUCCAUAAUUUUUCUGACUAUAGAUUAAAAGUUUCCUACGCUGAGUUGUCAGUACAAUACGAACCUUUGCUUGAUGUUAUCACACUGGAACAUGCCAAGCAAGAUGUGGAUGAAGUCCCCAUCUACUCCAUGCAGCAAGAACUCGGCAAGAUCAGCUACAGCCUGGCAUGUGUGUUUGGUUGCGAGAAAAAUUGAUGUCAGGAUUCUUGGGGGUACCGUCAUAGGCCUGCUGGCAUCUGGUGGCACAGUUCUUCCAUCCCAUAGUCCAUAGAAUAGAUAUGCUCAUACCUGAUAUAUAUUAAUAUUAUAUUGGUGAUUGGUAUUAUAUUAGCUUCAAAUAUAUAAUUUUAUUCUACUCGAAGAAGGGGCUGAAAGAAGGGAAGAGUUGGAACUACUCGGAAAGAAAUUUCAUUUGUAUACAUUUAAAGGGAUCUUUCGUUCGAUGCGUUUGGAUAAAUGGAUCCACCCAUCUUUCCGGUUCCAAGGAGUUCCCAUUUUUCCCUUUGGAUAUUCUAUACAGAAGUCUUUUGAUCCUCUCUUUGAUGUCAUUUUCUGUUCAAGAGAUUUCUCCUCUUUGUACCUUACUCGAUGUAUCUCAUCUUCUUUAAUGGAAGGAUCGUUAACUGUGCAUAUGCCGCUUUACUUCAAGAUCUGUGAUAGUAACUUUUGAACUUGUUAAUCAUUGUCUUUUUACGUAAAUUCCUUUAGAUCAUCUUAUACUUCUAUAAGUUAAUGUCUAAAAGUAGUCUACUUAAUUUUUGGAAUACUUUAACUUGCCUACUUAAACUUAUAAGAAUUAAAAAAUUGCAUCAACACACAAAAUAAUCUACUCAAAUUACCAGUAAGGAACAGAGAGAGUUAUCAUCCUCAAUUCACAGCUCAUUCAUUGAAA